UACGGAGGGUGCAAGCGUUAUCCGGAUUUACUGGGUUUAAAGGGUGCGUAGGUGGGCAGGUAAGUCAGUGGUGAAAUCUCCGGGCUUAACUUGGAAACUGCCGUUGAUACUAUCUGCCUUGAAUAUUGUGGAGGUAAGCGGAAUAUGUCAUGUAGCGGUGAAAUGCUUAGAUAUGACAUAGAACACCAAUUGCGUAGGCAGCUUACUACACGAUCAUUGACGCUGAGGCACGAAAGCGUGGGGAGCAAACAGG
rnacentral:rRNA from 1 species